ACUUUUAUGAGUUUUGCUAAGAUCUGUGUGGGUCAUUGGCUUGGAGGAAAAGGACUAAAUUAUCUUUGAGCUGUGAUCAAGCAUGAGAAAUUUCCACCCUGAGGAAAAAUAUUUGAAGGUUGCAAAAUGAAUGGAACACGGGUUCGAGCCCUGGUCUGGGAAGAUCCCACAUGCCGUGCAGCAGCUGGGCCCGUGAGCCACAACUACUGAGCCUGCGCGUCUGGAGCCUGUGCUCUGCAAGAAGAGAGGCCGCGAUAGUGAGAGGCCCGCGCA